rnacentral:rRNA from 1 species
AUUGAACGCUGGCGGCAUGCUUUACACAUGCAAGUCGAACGGAAGCGGGGUAGUGCUUGCACUAUUGUCGGAGCGUGGCGCGCGGGAGUGUAAUAUAUCUAAACGUCCCGAGUAACGGGGGAUAACUCGUCGAACGAUUGGUUAUUCCCGCAUACGUCUUGAGGGGGAAAGCGGAGGAUCGCAAGACGUCGUGUCAUUCGCGCGGCCGGUGACGCAUUAGCUAGUUGGUGGGGUAAAGGCGUACCAAGGCGACGAUCAAUAGCGGGUCUGAGAGGAUGAUCGGCCACACUGGAACUGAGACACGGUCCAGACUCCUACGGGAGGCAGCAGUAGGGAAUUUUGGGCAAUGGGCGCAACCCUGACCCAGCCAUGCCGCGUGUAUGAAGAAGGCCUUCGGGUUGUAAAGCUCUGUUAUUAGGGAAGAAAAGGUAAGUACGAAAACCACUAUAUGCUGACGGUACCUAAAGAAUAAGCACCGGCUAACUACGUG